rnacentral:rRNA from 1 species
GAUGAACGCUGGCGGCGUGCCUAAUACAUGCAAGUCGAGCGAACAGACGAGGAGCUUGCUCCUCUGACGUUAGCGGCGGACGGGUGAGUAACACGUGGAUAACCUACCUAUAAGACUGGGAUAACUUCGGGAAACCGGAGCUAAUACCGGAUAAUAUAUUGAACCGCAUGGUUCAAUAGUGAAAGACGGUUUUGCUGUCACUUAUAGAUGGAUCCGCGCCGCAUUAGCUAGUUGGUAAGGUAACGGCUUACCAAGGCGACGAUGCGUAGCUGACCUGAGAGGGUGAUCGGCCACACUGGAACUGAGACACGGUCCAGACUCCUACGGGAGGCAGCAGUAGGGAAUCUUCCGCAAUGGGCGAAAGCCUGACGGAGCAACGCCGCGUGAGUGAUGAAGGUCUUCGGAUCGUAAAACUCUGUUAUUAGGGAAGAACAAAUGUGUAAGCAACUAUGCACGUCUUGACGGUACCUAAUCAGAAAGCCACGGCUAACUACGUG